GGGUCGACUCGGAACCGCUACUAUUCACCAUGCGGCUGAAUCAGCGCUAAUGGGGCCGUCGGAGGAGGGUGAGGGGCGGCAGAAGGGAGAGGGGCGAGGCGGACUGCAAUCUUGGGCUGAAUUUCAGCGACGCAGCUCAGAGGACUCAAAGGCCAAAGGCUCGAGUGAUCGAAGCGUUUAGGGACCCGAAUAUCUAUAGAGAACCGAAGAUUAAAAAAAAGGAUAUCACAAGGAUUUAAGGCUUUAAAUAUGCAAGAAUUCGAGGAGACUGAAGUCUGAGAAACGAGAAGAUAUGAUAUUUAAGAGUAUCCUGAGGAUAUCCUGAACAAAAUCCCAAUGAUUAAAAAAUAUUAUAGUUUUAACAAAGAACGAAUCUUCAUAUUUCUUCUCUCACAAUGGAGCUUGAUAAAAUUUUAUCAAUUUAAAAUUUAGUGAAUAUAAAAUUCGAAAUUUGAAUCAGAGAUGAAAUUUUAUAUCAAACAUACGAUAUGUUGGCAUUUUUCUCUUUGUUAAAACCAAAGCCCCUCCAGUAAAAUUCCAUUAAAGACCAUAU
rnacentral:lncRNA from 13 species